rnacentral:rRNA from 1 species
AACGUAGGGCGCCAGCGUUAUCCGGAGUUACUGGGCGUAAAGCGCGGGCCGGCGGCUCGAUGCGUCUGAUGUGAAAUCUCCUCGCUCAACGGGGAGAGGCCAUUGGAAACGGUCGGGCUGGAGGGCAGUAGAGGCAGGCGGAAUUCCGGGUGGAGUGGUGAAAUGCGUAGAGAUCCGGAGGAACACCAGAGGCGAAGGCGGCCUGCUGGGCUGCACCUGACGCUGAGCCGCGAAAGCCAGGGGAGCGAACGGG